GGCUCGCUCCGACAACCCCCGGCCCCUUCCCCUCCCACAAGGGGCGGUAGGGCCCCCUGGGCCUCCCGGAAAGGGGGCGGGGUCCUUAGGAGGGUCUGGCCCGCCCCUCCCCACAAAAAGACCUAGCCGGUGGCGGCGUCUCCUGGGAGUCCGCUUCCUGCCCCGCCCCUCCGCCCCCUGGAUCCUUAAAGGCGCAGGCCUCCAGCCUGGCUCCCAUUGCUGCCAACUCUUAGGCCGCUGUCGGAGGAUCCCCUUUAACCUGCGAGAGAACUUUCACUUUGCUAAAUUGAACCUGUGUCUGGGUCAGUUCCGACGAGCUCCUUUCUCUGUUUCAAAUGUGCAUUGACUUCACCCAGCUGGAGCAAAGCCUGGGACGUGGAGCGGGGGUCCGUGGGGCCUUCCAGACUAGGUAAAUGUAGUGACUGAGACUCACCCACACGGUAAACAGCGUCUCAGGACCCCUCCAGCAACCCAAUAACUCGUCCUCCAAUCUGUGGCCAGCUUCCCCUAUCAGUCACCUCUUGGUAUGAGGCGGCGGGAGAGACCUGGACUAUGAGUCUUCACUUCUGGGUUCUCGUCCUAGCUUGAUGACACCUCCUGCCUGGCGUUCUCACACAGAUCGUACCAUAAUUGACUGACUGGAAAAUAGACUCAUGGAUCUGACAUCACCAUAAACUAAUGCUUGGAUGAUUCAAGCUGUCAGAGCCCUGGGACUUGAGACUUCCAGAAAAAUUCCAGCCCCAAAGCAGAAGACUUCUAUGGAGAAAGAUGCUAAGCCACAAACAGUUCAGCAUCUGAUCUAGGAACAGAUUCUAGGGACAAGGGAAAGCAAGCAAAGAACAUGAAGGUCUAUUUUGAACAGCACAAGCUCAAGGCAACCAUGACUUGAAGCAGGGGGGCCAGCCAUACUCCUCAAGGACCAUGGAAGCAGCCCUCACUGGCAUUGAAUUCACAUCACUCAGGUCUAAACCUUCCUGGAUCCUGGAGAAUUCUCUGCACAGAGCCAUGGAUUUCUCUCUCCAGCCUACGGGCUUUGGAUUUAUUUCUGACUUGGGAAAUCCCCAUCCUGCCUUCUGCUUUCAGCCCAGGCCCUGGCUUGGGUAAAACACAACGAGGAAGCAGGUGACAUCUCAGGACAGAAGGGGCCAGGUCAGGGAAGUGCCUUCCAGGGAUUCACACCAGAGCUGGAGACAUGGUUGGGAUAUUAUGUUAGAGAAAAUGGAAAGCUGGGAGAGCGGGAGGGACCUGCCUCGGGUCUCCAGAAAGUCAGUAAUAGAGCCAAGGUAAGUCCCAGGAUGCCUGGCUCUCAUCACAUCCACUCUAUCUCAGGGCCACCAAAGCCCUACCCCAUCAGAGUCCCCCUAACGUUCCUUCUCAUCUCUCUCUCUACCCCGAGACACUUAGUUCUGCCCAAAAAGAGUCUCAGUGUUCUCCAAAUACAUCAUCUGCUUUUAACUCCGUGCCUUUGUAUGCAAUACGCCUUUUUGUGCAUCCCCUUCUCCCACUUGUCUACUAGGUAAACCCCUACUCAUCCCUCAAGGCCCGUUCAAAUAAAUGUUUCCUUCCUUCAAA